AGUUUGAUCCUGGCUCAGAACGAACGUUGGCGGCGUGGAUUAGGCAUGCAAGUCGCGGGAAUGCCCUUCGGGGUGGAACCGGCGUAAGGGGCAGUAAGGCAUGGGUAACUUACCCUGGGAUUUGGCAUAGCCCGUAGAAAUACGGGGUAAUUCCAAGCGAUGUGAUCGGGGGGCCUCCUCCGGUCACCAAAGGUCCGCUGUCCUGGGAGAGGCUCAUGUGGUAUUAGCUAGUUGGUGGGGUAACGGCCUACCAAGGCGAAGAUGCCUAGCGGGUGUGAGAGCACGACCCGCGCCACUGGCACUGAGACACUGGCCA
rnacentral:rRNA from 1 species